rnacentral:rRNA from 1 species
UACGGGGGGAGCAAGCGUUGUUCGGAUUUACUGGGCGUAAAGGGCGCGUAGGCGGCCACCGCAAGUCAGUUGUGAAAUCUCCGAGCUUAACUCGGAAAGGUCAACUGAUACUGCGGGGCUAGAGUGCGGAAGGGGGCAACUGGAAUUCUCGGUGUAGCGGUGAAAUGCGUAGAUAUCGAAGAGGAACACCUGCGGCGAAGGCGGGUUGCUGGGC